rnacentral:lncRNA from 10 species
GUGUGGAGGGCUGUGACUGGGUGUUGUCAAUUUCCUGAGGAGACGAUACAGGAAGAGGGGCUGGGAGAAGCAAAGGAAAAAGGAACAGAUGGGGAACUAAGGUAUAAAAUAAGUUCAACACUGGCAACCAUCUGAUAACCACAGAGAAAUGAGACUGAGGAUAAAACUAAUCUAAAGAGGAUACCAACGAAGCUGUAACCCUCCAGUUACAUAAACCAGUGUCCUGAGGGAGAAGCUGGUGCCCUUUAUCACACAGCUAACAACGCUCCUGGCCCAUGGAUCAGAGAAGUUGAAGGAAAAUACAGAGGAAGUUCUAACAGUGGCAGACCUAAUUACUGCACCAUGCCAAGCAGGUAAUCCAGCAGGAGUGGUGACAGUUUGAGACAAGGACAAGAGCACCAGACUUCAGAACUUGACAUCCACAAAAUGUAAAUAAGAUGAAAGUUCAGCUCUGUCAUUUGACAUAUGAGUUCCGCCCUCUGCCCCUACUCCUAGCAACUCUCUGAGCCUCAGCUCUGCCUUCAGUAAGUCGUUCCUUUCCAUAAUAGGACAGUGGGAAGAUUUUUUGCUCAUAAAGAACAUGACUAUAGCUAUUGAUUUCUGGGAAAUGUUAAAACAACAAGGUUUUCAAUUCCUUUGUUGACAAGUGAAAAUAUUUUCUUUGUUAACUAAUGUUUCAGAACUGGGCUUUCUAUAUUGAAGAAAAAUUAAUGAAGAAAAAUAAAUCAAUUUUACAAAAUGUCCCUGAAAAAUUCUACCCCAAACUGUCCUGAGAUUUGCUAGUCAGCAAGCUUAACAUACAAUUUGAAAAAGAAAUAUGAGGUUGAAUCCCCAAGACAGUAAAAGAGUAGACAUCACGGGAGGACAUUAUUC